rnacentral:rRNA from 1 species
GAUGAACGCUGGCGGCGUGCCUAAUACAUGCAAGUCGAGCGAACAGACGAGGAGCUUGCUCCUCUGACGUUAGCGGCGGACGGGUGAGUAACACGUGGAUAACCUACCUAUAAGACUGGGAUAACUUCGGGAAACCGGAGCUAAUACCGGAUAACAUGUUGAACCGCAUGGUUCAACAGUGAAAGACGGUCUCGCUGUCACUUAUAGAUGGAUCCGCGCCGCAUUAGCUAGUUGGUAAGGUAACGGCUUACCAAGGCAACGAUGCGUAGCCGACCUGAGAGGGUGAUCGGCCACACUGGAACUGAGACACGGUCCAGACUCCUAAGGGAGGCAGCAGUAGGGAAUCUUCCGCAAUGGGCGAAAGCCUGACGGAGCAACGCCGCGUGAGUGAAGAAGGUCUUCGGAUCGUAAAACUCUGUUAUUAGGGAAGAACAAAUGUGUAAGUAACUAUGCACGUCUUGACGGUACCUAAUCAGAAAGCCACGGCUAACUACGUG